AGAGCCUAGAGUGAAGCGAUCCCUUUCAUAAUCACUGCUUUUCUUUUGAUCUAUACCACAAAGAGUCUGACUACCAACUACAACAGAGCUGUAAAAUCCCAACAAACUACACUAAUUCAGGUGAAAGAGCGACAUAACCUAAUUUUGAUCUAUAAUCCUUAGAAAAACCCGACGUACCUCAUGCCAGGGGCUUAAAAGGGAGGUCUGAACACAAAGCCUGAUUAGGGAUGACUGUUUGGCAGAGCCACGGAUAGGCAAAAUUAGAUUAAUUUGCUUUUGACACACUGUAAUAAUCUAAUAGCAUUUAGCUCAGUGAACCCAGGCUUUAACAAUGGCGGUGAAUACUCUUUAACCUGAAACCCAGCCAGAAGCAGCUCCAGAACCCAGCCAACACAUCUAAGGAUUAAAAGCCCUCAGUAACCUGAUGGAUGCAACUCCAAUUACAAGCUUAUCAAACUGACAAAAACCGCAGCACGGUUAAUUAUAGACCAAACCGAAAUAGACAGCCAGCGCUGGACUCCCAAAAGUAGUCAUAAGGCAAUCUGGCCCACACAAGCCACCAGCGUCGAACAUUUCUUCUGCCGGAAGUUGAUGCGUACCCUCUGCACACUGACGUGGGCCACUGGACGUGACUGAUGCAUGUUGUGCUUUUGAGUGUCAGUUUUGAAGCUAACUGAAAGCAGCACUUGACAGAGAAGAGAGAAUGAUGUGAGCAGAAAGAGAGAGAAAUGAAAAUGAGUCAUAUCUCUAAGGACGCAGACAAGAGAGGAGAGCUGUGCACAGGCACGACUGUCACUGGCCGCAGACACAUGAAUAAAUAAAGGCAUUAUAAUGAAGACAACUCUCCGUCUGCCCAUCAGAGCCUGCCCAGUCUGGCACCAAAGCUCAGGAGGGAGAGAAAGAGAGGAGCAAACGAAUUUUAAAAAAAGACGAAAGAUCGAGAGACAGAACGAGACGGGAGAGGAAGAGAGAGCGGCCCAUCACUGUGAUUGACAAUGAUGAGCACUGUCUGCUUCUAUUAAAUCAAUCAAUCAUCGCUAUAGGACUCAAGUCUCGGUUCUCUCAAUAGGCUAACAAGCUCAGGACUUCACUGUUUCUCUCAGCCGUUUACUCUCAUGUCCCCCCCGCAAAGUGAAACAUCUGGUCAGUUUCUCUUAUCUGCUUUAUUUCACGCUUUGGUGGCUGGGGUGUUGAGUUGUGUGCCAUUUCCCCUGCGUGCCCCCUGCCAAUGGUGUCAUAUUUGGACUGCUGUCUGUGACAUUCUCUUUAACACCUCCCACCGCUGGGAUGUGACAUCCUCACCACAGCGACAGGGCCGGAGGAGGAAGACAGCCGGCGACUCGGCGAGGGAUGAUCAGAUGCGUGCGGGCCUGUCAGGGGUCUUCAUCGCUCUGUCCAGACUAGGAAUAAGUUAUGCUGCUUGAGUUAUUCAAGAACCGACUAGUCGAUUACGGAGAUUGACUAGACCUUUUCUUUCUUUUUUUUUUUUUACUGUCCAGCUGAAAGAGACACCAACACAGCUGGUAUUAACCCAGUUUGAAAUUGACCCCACCCCCCCGCCCUCCUCUGAGAAAGAAAGAGACUUUCAAAAGCUGGAGGCAGUGCUCCAUUCAAACUGAGCUACAGGAUCAGAGGCUUUGCAGAGUGACCUUUGACCCCACAGUGCCGCAAGGGUUUGCAAAGCAACAAAAGCCAGUUUUGCAUCCCUCACAGCCUGACAAGAACAUGACUCGCCUGCUACUUGCUGAAUUGAGAAAAGAGGAUCUUGGACCUUGGAUUUCUUUGUGCUGUACAGAUAGAGAUGUAAAAGGAGAAAUCUUUAAACUUCUCAAUAACACAGUUGAGAGACAAG